CUCAACGGGCGGGCCUUGGCGGGGGAGCCUCACGGCUCGCCGGUUUUUGGUACUGCGCUCCGGUCUGUUAACCCCGUCACUGUGCCCGCUCACCACC
rnacentral:antisense_RNA from 4 species